rnacentral:rRNA from 1 species
GACGAACGCUGGCGGCGUGCUUAACACAUGCAAGUCGAACGGAAAGGCCCUGCUUUUGUGGGGUGCUCGAGUGGCGAACGGGUGAGUAAUACGUGAGUAACCUGCCCUUGACUUUGGGAUAACUUCAGGAAACUGGGGCUAAUACCGGAUAGGAGCUCCUGCUGCAUGGUGGGGGUUGGAAAGUUUCGGCGGUUGGGGAUGGACUCGCGGCUUAUCAGCUUGUUGGUGGGGUAGUGGCUUACCAAGGCUUUGACGGGUAGCCGGCCUGAGAGGGUGACCGGCCACAUUGGGACUGAGAUACGGCCCAGACUCCUACGGGAGGCAGCAGUGGGGAAUAUUGCACAAUGGGCGGAAGCCUGAUGCAGCAACGCCGCGUGCGGGAUGACGGCCUUCGGGUUGUAAACCGCUUUCGCCUGUGACGAAGCGUGAGUGACGGUAAUGGGUAAAGAAGCACCGGCUAACUACGUGCCAGCAGCCGCGGUGAUACGUAGGGUGCGAGCGUUGUCCGGAUUUAUUGGGCGUAAAGGGCUCGUAGGUGGUUGAUCGCGUCGGAAGUGUAAUCUUGGGGCUUAACCCUGAGCGUGCUUUCGAUACGGGUUGACUUGAGGAAGGUAGGGGAGAAUGGAAUUCCUGGUGGAGCGGUGGAAUGCGCAGAUAUCAGGAGGAACACCAGUGGCGAAGGCGGUUCUCUGGGCCUUUCCUGACGCUGAGGAGCGAAAGCGUGGGGAGCGAACAGGCUUAGAUACCCUGGUAGUCCACGCUGUAAACGGUGGGUACUAGGUGUGGGGUCCAUUCCACGGGUUCCGUGCCGUAGCUAACGCUUUAAGUACCCCGCCUGGGGAGUACGGCCGCAAGGCUAAAACUCAAAGGAAUUGACGGGGCCCCGCACAAGCGGCGGAGCAUGCGGAUUAAUUCGAUGCAACGCGUAGAACCUUACCUGGGUUUGACAUGGAUCGGGAGUGCUCAGAGAUGGGUGUGCCUCUUUUGGGGUCGGUUCACAGGUGGUGCAUGGCUGUCGUCAGCUCGUGUCGUGAGAUGUUGGGUUAAGUCCCGCAACGAGCGCAACCCUUGUUCACUGUUGCCAGCACGUUAUGGUGGGGACUCAGUGGAGACCGCCGGGGUCAACUCGGAGGAAGGUGGGGAUGACGUCAAGUCAUCAUGCCCCUUAUGUCCAGGGCUUCACGCAUGCUACAAUGGCUGGUACAGAGAGUGGCGAGCCUGUGAGGGUGAGCGAAUCUCGGAAAGUCGGUCUCAGUUCGGAUUGGGGUCUGCAACUCGACCUCAUGAAGUCGGAGUCGCUAGUAAUCGCAGAUCAGCAACGCUGCGGUGAAUACGUUCCCGGGGCUU